rnacentral:rRNA from 1 species
GCGUUGUCGUCAGCUCGUGUCGUGAGAUGUUGGGUUAAGUCCCGCAACGAGCGCAACCCCUACGUUUAGUUGCUAACGCGUGAAGGCGAGCACUCUAGACGAACUGCCGUUGACAAAACGGAGGAAGGUGGGGAUGACGUCAAGUCCUCAUGGCCUUUAUGACCAGGGCUACACACGUACUACAAUGGCCGGUACAAAGGGCAGCCACUUAGCGAUAAGGAGCCAAUCCCGUAAAGCCGGUCUCAGUCCGGAUUGGAGUCUGCAACUCGACUCCAUGAAGUUGGAAUCGCUAGUAAUCGCAGAUCAGCACGCUGCGGUGAAUACGUUCCCGGGCCUU